rnacentral:rRNA from 1 species
GAUGAACGCUGGCGGCGUGCCUAAUACAUGCAAGUCGAGCGAACAGACGAGGAGCUUGCUCCUCUGACGUUAGCGGCGGACGGGUGAGUAACACGUGGAUAACCUACCUAUAAGACUGGGAUCACUUCGGGGAACCGGAGCUAAUACCGGAUAAUAUAUUGCACCGUAUGGUUCAAUAGUGAAAGACGGUUUUGCUGUCACUUAUAGCUGGUUCCGCGCCGCAUUAGCUAGUUGGUAAGGUAACGGCUUACCAAGGCAACGAUGCGUAGCCGACCUGUGAGGGUGAUAGGCCACACGGGAGCUGGGACGCGGUCCAGACGCCUACGGGAGGCAGCAGUAGGGAAUCUUACGCAGUGGGCGAAAGCCUGACGGAGCAACGCCGCGUGAGUGGUGGAGGUCUUCGGAUCGUAAAGCUCUGUUAUUAGGGAAGAACAGAUGUGUAAGUAGCUAUGCACGUCUUGACGGUACCUAGUCAGAAAGCCACGGCUAACUACGUG